rnacentral:rRNA from 1 species
UGGGGAAUUUUGGACAAUGGGCGAAAGCCUGAUCCAGCAAUGCCGCGUGUGUGAAGAAGGCCUUCGGGUUGUAAAGCACUUUUGUCCGGAAAGAAAUGGCUCUGGUUAUUACUGGGGGUGGAUGACGGUACCGGAAGAAUAAGGACGGGCUAACUAGGUGCAAGCAGCCGCGGUAAUACGUAGGGUCCAAGCGUUAAUCGGAAUUACUGGGCGUAAAGCGUGCGCAGGCGGUUGUGCAAGACCGAUGUGAAAUCCCCGAGCUUAACUUGGGAAUUGCAUUGGUGACUGCACGGCUAGAGUGUGUCAGAGGGGGGUAGAAUUCCACGUGUAGCAGUGAAAUGCGUAGAGAUGUGGAGGAAUACCGAUGGCGAAGGCAGCCCCCUGGGAUAACACUGACGCUCAUGCACGAAAGCGUGGGGAGCAAACAGG